GCACCGCAUCAGCCUGCUCAACCCUUUAAAUUUACAAUUUCCGAAUCCUGUGAUCGGAUUAAGGAAGAGUUUCAGUUUUUACAGGCUCAAUACCACAGUCUGAAGCUGGAAUGUGAGAAACUCGCCAGUGAGAAGACAGAGAUGCAGCGGCAUUAUGUCAUGUAUUAUGAAAUGUCCUAUGGGUUGAAUAUAGAAAUGCACAAGCAGGUAAGUUAUUUCUUUAUAACCAUUUUAAAUGACAGUAAUACUGGGACACUAUGAAAAGAAAAUUGUAUGUUUUGCAGUUUUAUUCUGCAAGCCGUUGUGGCUACCUGUAUUUAAAAGUCUGGGUAGUGAAGAAAAUGCUGUUUUUUCAUGUGUGGCUCCCCAUCUUUCUUUCAUAUUAUCCUAAUUUUUAUAAUUUAAAAAUGUUAUUUUAAAAAGUCUGAAUACAUAUUAAACUCUGUACACUUUCAAAAGCAGGAUGCUAAAUUUUAAAAUCCUCUUGUUAUUCUUCUGAAAGAGUUGCUUUAUGUAUUUUGGGCAUUGCAAACUUGUCUUGUGAAAGAGCUUUUCUUGGAAAAUAUUAAACAGUAAAAUUAAAUUGUGUGGCGCCUUCGUUGGCUUGAUGUGAAAGAAUGGAUAGAGGGUGAGCUGGGAGGAUGAAAAUGAAAUCUGUGGAGCUACAAAAGAAAUUGAUGUAAAAUCCUUGUACUGGUCCCCUGAGGCUACUUAGUUGGGUCUUACCAAGAACUAUAACCGUUACUUCCAAAAUUUGUACAGAGUAAAUGAGCCUGAUAGGAGGAUGUGAUAAGGUUCAACAUUGGGUCUUGAAAUCUAG
rnacentral:lncRNA from 1 species